rnacentral:rRNA from 1 species
GACGAACGCUGGCGGCGUGCUUAACACAUGCAAGUCGAACGGAAAGGCCCUGCUUUUGUGGGGUGCUCGAGUGGCGAACGGGUGAGUAACACGUGAGUAACCUGCCCUUGACUUUGGGAUAACUUCAGGAAACUUGGUCUAAUACCGGAUAGGAGCUCCUGCUGCAUGGUGGGGGUUGGAAAGUUUCGGCGGUUGGGGAUGGACUCGCGGCUUAUCAGCUUGUUGGUGGGGUAGUGGCUUACCAAGGCUUUGACGGGUAGCCGGCCUGAGAGGGUGACCGGCGACAUUGGGACUGAGAUACGGCCCAGACUCCUACGGGAGGCAGCAGUGGGGAAUAUUGCACAAUGGGCGGAAGCCUGAUGCAGCAACGCCGCGUGCGGGAUGACGGCCUUCGGGUUGUAAACCGCUUUCGCCUGUGACGAAGCGUGAGUGACGGUAAUGGGUAAAGAAGCACCGGCUAACUACGUG